CGGGCAUAGUCUUCCCUGUAUGUUCAAGGCAUAGCAAUCAAUACAAUGUACGAAGUUCCAACCAAGAACACAUUUCAAUCAAGAUUGCAUAAUGGAAGGUAUCAAGUCAUAGUGGCAGCGCAAGUCGGUACUUGACGACUCUACGCGCUCCAACACCACUCGCCACUCGGUACACAAAGAACUCUUCUUUGCACUGGCCUUCCCUUUUGGGAAUACAUUCCAAUUCGAUCACCGACAUUGCUUAGAAGCAAUAUCACCGGUGCAUCGCUCCGUCGUGAGUGCUCUAAUUUGGCACUGACCCUAAACGUUAACAUGAGAUGGCCUAUCUUAGCACAUCCCCAAUUCCAUUCCUCCAAGUCCACGUGGCUUACUACUCGCUCAAGGUCUCACCAAGAGCACUUCAUCUUCUGAUACCAUAUGCCACGGUCAACAUCGAACUACUUUCGCAACGAGCUCACGCGAGCACUUCGUUCGUGAAUUCGAGUCAAACUCCUCGAUAAGGCUAUCUGCCAAAUCGCUCUCUUCGGUCUCCACAGGUGGACCAAAGGCCACCAAUCCUACGUAGGCCUACCACCUAAACCUGUCUCAAUACGCAGCGUCUCUCGCUCGCAAAUGCAGACCCAAUCAUGAUCGGGCGAAAUUCUCACUUGGGAAUUCGCACACACUCCAACCAGGAGCAACUAAGACCCCAAACCACGUCAAGUCCUCGGGUUGGGUCACAACCAUACUCGGUGUACCAUCGGUCACACAAUCUAUCACGUGGCAUUCCACGCUCCCGGGCCUAAACUCGGACUACCGUCCUGACCAGAACUCUGCCCUACCCGUAGGUACCGGGCCGCUGUCACUCACAGCUGACUGCGCCUGCCCAAAGGGCCCAGGCUCCACAGUCCACAAAUGGUCCAGGCACGGGUCGUCCCCAAGCACUACCCGCCGUCGUCGUCCUACACGACAUACUCUACCGAGUCACACGUACCAAUAUCGGCUCCUAUGCACCUAGUGCGAGUCACCAGUCCCACGAGUGAUCCAUGGCACGCUUCACACCUAGCAAUGCUCAAGUGCUACUGCCAAUACACUCUCUCGGCUGAAUCCACAUCCGCACUCUACGGGUAUCUACACUCGAGCGCUCUACGCCUCUACAGCGUUCCACACGAAGUCCAGCAUUAGGCAAUCUUGCCUAUGCACACCGGCCGCACGAGCACAACCGCCUACCUCACCUUGAGGUACUACUAGGCCCACGUGCUCAAACUUGGCCACUAAUCGACCGUUCUCUCAACAGUGAUGCUACUUUCACUGUUCGAUCUACCAGAAUGACAUCCGAAAUUUUCGGACCACUCGGGUGUUCUCAUAAGCAUCAUGGCUCAACUCUCGCAAUUUACUACUCAUAUUGCUCUGAGAGUCAUUUCGCCACUUCUAUCUCUACCGCGAGUCUCACUUCUCGCCAUAGAUUACUUCUAGCACUUCGCUAGUGCCAUCUGGCUCUAUACCUGUACUGGCAGGUACUACGCCCUCACAUAAUACAAAACUCCAUUUCUAGAGCAAUCAAAUCUAUCUCUAGAAAUCCACCAUGAGAGAGAGCUUAGAAGCUUACCUCUCCAAGAAGCUCCAACCAAGGAGAAGAUGAAGAAGAUGAGGUAGACCUCCUUCUCCUUCUCUUUCUUUCCUUUCCUUUCUUCUUCCUCUUCUUGUCUUCUAGAGAGAGAAAGAGAGAUAUGAGAGGGUGUGUGGGUGAGAAAUAAGAGAAAAGAGCUCUCAUACCCCUCACAUAGCCCCACAUGUUGCAUAAGUGCAAACAAGCUCCUCAACUUUUAUUCUUUUACACUGCCCUGACUGGGCCAUUUUCGGGUUCGGGGACCGGUCUCUCCGACGAGGGACCGGUCUCCGAGAGCUUCUCCCCGCAGUCAGCAGAGCUCACACCCGAUGGAACCGGUCUUUCUUUGGGGGACCGGUCUCUCAGGGACCAGUCUCUCCAGCAGGGACCGGUCUCCGAGAGCUGUUCACCAAGGACUUAGCCGAUUUUUCUCUCCUCUUGCUGCCUGCGCGUUCGGGGACCGGUCUCUCCCCACAGGGACCGGUCUCCGAGAACAGAAAACCUGCAGUUU
rnacentral:lncRNA from 1 species